rnacentral:rRNA from 1 species
UACGUAGGGUGCGAGCGUUAAUCGGAAUUACUGGGCGUAAAGCGUGCGUAGGCGGGUGUUUAAGUGCAAUGCGAAAUCCUGUGGCUCAACCAUAUGGACUGUAUUGCAUACUGGAUACCUGGAGGAAUGCAGAGGCAAGUGGAAUUACUGGUGUAGCAGUGAAAUGCGUAGAUAUCAGUAGGAACACCAAUGGCGAAGGCAGCUUGCUGGGCAUUUUCUGACGCUAAGGCACGAAAGCGUGGGGAGCGAACAGG